GAACGGCUCGGCACGGGUACGACCCUUUUACAAAGUGUACUCCCGGGUGAAGGAGGCGGAGAAGGGGGAGUAAAGAGGGCAUGUUCACAUCCGGUGUGAUUGCACAUGCGUGCUGCCUUUAUUCCGGGAUAACUUUGGCCCGUGUCAAUCACACGUCCCGCUUCCCGGCUGAGCUGGGCUGAGCGAAACAAAGCAGAGAAGCACGGAUGUCUUGGGGCGUGACCUAGCGGAGCCCCGCCCCCCAAGCGCCCCGCCCCGCUCUUUGGAAUCCUAUAUAUAUCGAAUUUAAAUUACGGGUUUUGCUUAAAGCGUUGGGCGAACGUGACUGGGGGGCUCUCGCCCCUUGGAAGAAAACACUUUCCUAUAUUGUUCAAGCAGCACAGUUUCGACUGUGCAAGACACCCCUGCAGAGGGGUUGAUCACAGUAAACUGUAUUGGCCUUAUUUCUGAAUAGACGUGAUCCCGGACGUGAUCCCGGACGGCGUUACCAUCUGGCGUUACCAUCUGGCGAAUGACUGAAUCCUGAACCCUCAGACACGGAUCGGCAGGCCUGCCACAGAUAGAAGAGCUACUCAAGCUUACCCAAUAGGCAGAGUAGAGAGAGCCGUAUUGUCGCAGGAUAGUCUGCUACUACCGGAGCAAAAAGGGCGAUCGGAGCAUUUCAAUGAGGACUGAGCUUUCUGGAGACCCACUUUAUUAUUUUAUGAAACAGAGGUCUGCUUAGAAACAAGCUUCUCAGGUUUAAGGUGCCUUAACAUCUGUAUCCAUAUUUGUUGGUCCUACAGAAGAAAAAGUGGGACUCAAGACAGAUUGCACCAAGUGAGUCACUACAAUUUACAAAAUGGGAGAUUCAAUAAACAAUGCACCAGGAUUUUAUUUGUAGAAAUCAAAGACAGAACUAAAAAACAGAACUGAAGCAAAGCCCUUCAUGCAACAUCGUGUCCUGUGUAGUACAAGCUGUUCAGUCACAAACUCCAGGGGGUUACAGUAAGGAUGCCACAAAAAAAAGCUUCAAGAGAACAAUUAUCAUAUUUUGGAAUAGCCACUGACCUUUGAUACUUUACAUUCCAGCACUAGAGGAAUCACAGCUGGGAAAGUCCGUCUCACUUUCCACAGAGGUUAUGACAAUGGGACAGUCAUCAUUUCUGCAACGCUGUCUUUCGUAUAUGGAAACCAGCUGUGUGGAUUCAGAGAAAAGGGGCAAAAAGACCCCCUCCACUGCUUCCAUCCUUUCUGGGGGUAAAAGCAGGGUGACAGGGAAACUCAGAGCUCCUUUUCACUCCUUACAGCACUCCUUCACAGUGCUAAGUGAACAAGUGGUUUUUAAGGUGACUUCUCCUGGUCUAGGACUGACUGCAAGUCUGAUUGCACGUGGCAUGUGUCAGGUGUAUUGUACAGUUAUACACUUAGAGGAAUUCCAAUACAAUUCAUUUGUAGCAGUUAGUAGUUACAGUUAACCCAGCCUGAAAAAACUAUGCAAACUGAAGUGGGAUUCGGUUUCCUACAAGACCAAGCACAAUGUAACACUUUACCAGACCUGGAGACCCAUGUGAUCCAGGCUGUAAACCCAUUACCAUGCAGAAAAUGCAAGACUUCCAAUAUGAAAGAACUGCCUCACGCCUUAUUAAAUCAGAUUUACAAACGCUACAACCAAUUUUCAGUGAAAUGCUCAUAGUUCUGAUUUUUUUUGUGCAGAGCUAUGGCAUAAAUUGAAAGACAUUUCAGCAGGUUAACAGGCACAAACAAUUACAGGCUUUCUCCUAUGGGACAACAGCAGGUAAGCUACACAUGUUCCAGCUACACAUUGAAUGACAGAGAUCUCUGCUAGCCACUUUAUCACCUAUCAGGACUCUUCCUUCUAUUAAUCUAUAGGAGAUCAGGAGCAGGGGUGAGACAGAAGAGGUGAAAGUGAGGAAUCAUGUCAGCCUUGUCUUCAUUUACUAUCUCAGCCAUAUGGUUCUGUCUCCCCGCCCCCCAGAGGUACAGCAGAAAAGCAGUGACUUAAAAAUACACAUACUUGCCAUCUAAACUAUAGGAAUAAAAUGUACAUUCCUUUUAUCUCACCUGCUCCAAUUUUCCGGCUUUAAUAGCCCUGCAAUGCUGAUAUUUAGUAUAAGGAACUUCAAUAAAGUUCUGUGGUUAGUAUUCCAAAAGCAUUGUUAUCUGCCCCUUCCUUUUCAGACUGGCAACUUUGACAACUUUUUGAUUUGGAAACAAUAAAGGCUUGAAAAGAUCACUGCCAAAUGUGUUGUUGCAACUGCUUAUACACCACUUGCAAAGAGAGAGAAGUCAAAACUGAAAAGGCACUUUCUCUGAGUCAUGUGGGUACUCAUCUGGGAAAGGGAUCAAUAAGCAAAAGUUAGCAAUGGGAAACUUGACUAGAAUGUUUAACCAGAUAAGUGCUAAAAUGAAUUCUGAAAAGUACUUCUGGAAAAGCCACAACACAUCAACCAUUUGCAAUGUUUCAGAAAGUGACUACUUGAUGUAAAUUCCACAAAGAUUAUUUCAUGCAAGAACUGAAUGUGGUUCCCUCUCUCACCACCCUCACCCCCCACUCCUGAUCAGGGGAAUAAGGAAUUUAUCAGAAUAAUUGAAGAUAUAAUGGUUGUCUAAUAAUGUAUAAGUAUUGUUAAUAUUUAUGAAGUGCUUGUAACAACCACAGUUUUAUCCUAAACACAAUUACACCUUUACACUCUUUGACUCAAGAGACUUUGGAUAGGGCUGUUAGACAUCAUAUAAAAAGAAAUGAAAUAGUCCCUGACUAUUGAUGAAGUUAUGAUGGAGGAAAGGUAUGACUCUGAGAAUGUUAAGAAAAUUGAAAAAGAGGAGAUUGCCAAAAUGUGGAAGGAAAAAGAAUUGUUUAUAAAAAUGUGAUAGAAAUACCUAGCUUAAGCAGGAGGUGACUGGUUUUUUUAAGCCCUGAAGUAGUGUGGUUCUGUCUGCUGCAAUGGCAGUAAUGACAGGUGAAACCUGUUGCUAGUAGGUGCUCAUUCAGUCUCCCUGAAAGGAGAUUUUGUAUCAUCCCACAGCAAUCUGUUCCCUGUACUAUUAUUUAUCUAGCUCUUUCUGAUUGGCAGCCUGAUUGCUCUGCUGCAACUUGAACCUAGUCAAUGAUAGCUCUCUCUUGUCUCUAGGGAAGCUUUUAAAAUAUAGGAGGAUUGCUACCAUUCAUUAGGAAGCAACAGUAUGAGCUAGGCAGUCCUCCUUAUAGCCUGGUAUGCUAACAGACUCAUCAGUCAAUUUUAGUAAUAUUUGGUUUCUAAAGGAAUGAUUAAUCAAUCCAUUAUAAAUAACUGUGUAUAACCAAGGCAUGAUGAGCUCCUUCCUGGAGGGAAUAGUUUUUAAGAUAAGUGUGAGAUAUUUUAAUGAUUUAAUACUUAAACAUCACAGCAGCACAAUAACAAAAAAACAAUCAUUAAAAUGAUUUGUCGUAAUUUGGGUGCUGUGUGGUUUCCGGGCUGUAUGGCCGUGUUCUAGUAGCAUUCUCUCCUGAUGUUUCGCCUGCAUCUGUGGCUGGCAUCUAUAUUGUUUAACUCUGCAUUGUUUAACUCUGAGUAUAUGUUAUUGUAUAUGUUUUGUUAAUUAAAAACAAUUCAAUAACAUUGUUACCACUCAUUAUUGGAAAGGAAGACCUUUUUAAUAUUUUUUAAUUAUUUCCUUUAACAAUAACCCACCACAAUCAAAGUGAUAUAUAAAAUGAACAAGUUUAAAUAAUUAGAUUUAGAGUGUUGGAUUAGGAUCUGGAGACCCAGUGUUGAAGCUUCACACUGCCAUGGAAAUUUACUGGAUAUCUUAGGGCCAGUCACUCUUUCAGCCUAACCUAGAUUCUGAG